rnacentral:rRNA from 1 species
AUUGAACGCUGGCGGCAGGCCUAACACAUGCAAGUCGAGCGGAGCGGCAGACGGGUGCGUAAUGCCUAUGAAUCUGCCUGUUCGUGGUGGAUAGGGUUCGGUAAUGGGCGCUGAUACCGCAUCCUCUUAGCAGCGCCUAGGCCGGAGUAGCUAGUUGGUGGGGUAAAGGCCUACCAAGGCGACGAUCCGUAUCUGGUCUGAGAGGAUGAUCAGUCACACUGGAACUGAGACACGGUCCAGACUCCUACGGGAGGCAGCAGUGGGGAAUAUUGGACAAUGGGCGAAAGCCUGAUGCAGCCAUGCCGCGUGUGUGAAGAAGGUCUUCGGGUUGUAAAGCACUUUAAGUUAGGAGGCGUUACCAACAGAAGAAGCACCGGCUAACUUCGUGCCAGCAGCCGCGGUAAUAC